rnacentral:misc_RNA from 1 species
GCUUCCUGAAAACUUCUCAUCCCCCAAACUACACCGCAUUUAUAGCAAGUUGCCAAACAUUAUUUGCACAAGAAUCCUUGAGGAAAGGAUGGUAUAUAGCUCCAGUAAAAUGCACCAAAUAGCUGCUCAGAGUUUUAAGAAGAAAAGAACCAUGUUACUGAACAUUGCCUUGUUGAAAUAAACAAGUUUGAAGAUUCACACAAGUGACUUGAAUCAGCCAAAAAUUAUAUUGAUAAACCAAAAUAAUAAUAAUAUAAAAGGUAUCCGAUCAAUACACAUGGUCCAAAAUUUCCAAUAAUAAAAUAAAUUGUUCAACACCAGGGUUUCCAAAAAAGAGUAAGAAUUCCCGGUCCUAAAAAAUUAAUCAAGUUAUUAAUUAAACCUUGUAAUAUCAUGACAAAUAAAACUUCAAAGGAUUAAUUAGAAAGUAAAUAUCAAAAGAUUCAAAACGAAAAAGUCCUGCAACGUCACGGAACGAUCUUUCCUUCUGAAUUCAGCUCCAAUGCAAUACUUGGAGAUUUUAAAAGAUUUCGUAGCUCAGUCAUAUCCAACACAGAUUGAUAUUGACAAUCAUUGCUGUUCAAGUUAAGAAACUAGCACGUCCACGUCAACAUCAAAGUCUGCCAUCUUGAUUUUAACUUUAUACUCAAGCAAUAAACAUAAAAAUAUAUAUAUAUAUAAAAUCUUGGAAAAUCCCACAGUUUAUUGAAUAAAAAAUAAAAAAUCUUGUCUAUAAGGACUGGAAACAAGACAUGGUUAUAGAGAGAGGAGCUAUAAUCUUGAGCAUGUUCUCUUAACUUGUAGAAAGGAUUCUACAACAAUUCUAGGGAAGAGCAAUGGGGUGCUGUUAAUUUCACUUAUUUAUUCACCAUGCUACUUAAUUUUAGCGUGAUAAAUUUCAGUAUGUUGCUGAAAAAUAGCUGAAGUUCAAUUUUUGUUUCAAUAAAGUUACUGGUUUCAUAUCAUGGUUAAAACAUUUGGUGGGAAAAUAGACCGAGUCUAACUCCAUCCCAAAAGUUAGCUCAAGCAGAUAAAAUUUGUUCAAGUCUUACAUUUAGCACAAAGUUUUGCACUGUUGCUGUUAUGAUUAAUCUCAUCUGUGAGCCUAUGCUUUAUAUAAGAUAUCCAAAGCAUCAUUCCAUGUUCUCAUUUGGAUUUGCUCUAUGGCAGUCUGUGUACGUGAGUUCCUG